rnacentral:rRNA from 1 species
GUGCUUAACACAUGCAAGUCGAACGGAAAGGCCCUGCUUGCAGGGUACUCGAGUGGCGAACGGGUGAGUAACACGUGGGUGAUCUGCCCUGCACUUCGGGAUAAGCCUGGGAAACUGGGUCUAAUACCGGAUAGGAGCCAUUUUUAGUGUGAUGGUUGGAAAGUUUUUUCGGUGUAGGAUGAGCUCGCGGCCUAUCAGCUUGUUGGUGGGGUAAUGGCCUACCAAGGCGGCGACGGGUAGCCGGCCUGAGAGGGUGGACGGCCACAUUGGGACUGAGAUACGGCCCAGACUCCUACGGGAGGCAGCAGUGGGGAAUAUUGCACAAUGGGCGCAAGCCUGAUGCAGCGACGCCGCGUGGGGGAUGACGGCCUUCGGGUUGUAAACUCCUUUCGCUAGGGACGAAGCUUUU